rnacentral:rRNA from 1 species
UACGUAGGGUGCGAGCGUUGUCCGGAAUUACUGGGCGUAAAGAGCUCGUAGGUGGUUUGUCGCGUUGUCCGUGAAAACUCACAACUCAAUUGUGGGCGUGCGGGCGAUACGGGCAGACUGGAGUACUGCAGGGGAGACUGGAAUUCCUGGUGUAGCGGUGGAAUGCGCAGAUAUCAGGAGGAACACCGGUGGCGAAGGCGGGUCUCUGGGCAGUAACUGACGCUGAGAAGCGAAAGCGUGGGGAGCGAACAGG